UACAGAGGGUGCGAGCGUUGUUCGGAAUUGAUUGGCGUAAAGGGCGCGUAGGUGGUCUUAUAAGGGUGUGGUGAAAGCCCGGGGCUCAACCCCGGGUCGGCCGUGCCGACUGUAAGACUAGAGUGCUGUAGGGGCAGGCGGAAUUCCGGGUGUAGCGGUGGAAUGCGUAGAUAUCCGGAGGAAUACCAAAGGCGAAGGCAGUGUCCUGGCUGGCAUCUGACGCUGAGGCGCGAAAGCUAGGGGAGCGAACAGG
rnacentral:rRNA from 1 species